rnacentral:rRNA from 1 species
UACGUAGGGGGCAAGCGUUGUCCGGAUUUAUUGGGCGUAAAGAGCGUGUAGGCGGCCAUGUAGGUCCGUUGUGAAAACUCGAGGCUCAACCUCGAGACGCCGAUGGAACCAUAUGGCUAGAGUCCGGAAGAGGAGAGUGGAAUUCCUGGUGUAGCGGUGAAAUGCGCAGAUAUCAGGAAGAACACCCGUGGCUAAGGCGGCUCUCUAGUACGGUACUGACGCUGAGACGCGAAAGCGUGGGGAGCGAACAGG